UACGUAGGGGGCGAGCGUUGUCCGGAUUUAUUGGGCGUAAAGAGCGUGUAGGCGGCCAGGUAGGUCUGCUGUGAAAACUCGAGGCUCAACCUCGAGACGUCGGCGGAAACCAUCUGGCUAGAGUCCGGAAGAGGAGAGUGGAAUUCCUGGUGUAGCGGUGAAAUGCGCAGAUAUCAGGAAGAACACCCGUGGCGAAGGCGGCUCUCUGGGACGGUACUGACGCUGAGACGCGAAAGCGCGGGGAGCGAACAGG
rnacentral:rRNA from 1 species